UACGUAGGGUGCGAGCGUUGUCCGAAAUUAUUGGGCGUAAAGGGCUCGUAGGCGGUCUGUCACGUCGGGAGUGAAAACACGGGGCUUAACCCCGUGCCUGCUUCCGAUACGGGCAGACUAGAGGUAUGCAGGGGAGAACGGAAUUCCUGGUGUAGCGGUGAAAUGCGCAGAUAUCAGGAGGAACACCGGUGGCGAAGGCGGGUCUCUGGGCCGAUACUGACGCUGAGGAGCGAAAGCAUGGGUAGCGAACAGG
rnacentral:rRNA from 1 species